rnacentral:tRNA from 1 species
ACCAGCCUGGUUCAGUCAGAAGAGCACGAGACUUUGGGUCUCAGGGUUGUGGGUUCGAGCCCCACGUUGGGUG